ACCGCGGUUCGCCGCCUACCCAUUCAUCGGGAGCAUACUCCCAUCUAAGCCCACGGGCACCGUGCCCGUGGGCUUUGUUAUAUUCUGUCCGACCGCUAGGCUUAAUUGCUCGACUGCGGUACCUCAAAUAGCGCCAAGGUGGCAGAGUCUGGUCAGACGCAGCGGCCUGCAGAGCCGCCCGACGCCGGUUCAAAUCCGGCCCUUGGCUCUCACACGUUACGCUAAAGCCGAAGACGAGUAUCGGUGUACUAGCUCUUCUUCGCGCCCAUCUUGUAUAAUAAAAACGACGGAUACAUUUCGGGUAGUGCCAGGAAUAUUUCUGCUGGUGACCUACCCACGAGGGCAAUCACGGUUAGCUCCGAGCUCGUUGAGCGCACGGCGGAACUGCACCUCGUUGAUCCGGGGUUCGGACGUCACCUGUGCUUCGAGUAUGCCAGCGUACUGUUUGAUCUCCUCGUGACUGGGAUCGGUUUCGAGCACACACUCGACGUACCCGUUGAGGGCAGACCGCAACGCCUUCGCGUAGUGGUCGCACGCGAUGUCGAUGCGGGCGCAGUUGUCGUCGAUCACCUCGAACAGCGCCUGGUAGACGGUCGCCGCCGUCCGGUAGCGAUCGCGUUCGCGGUACUGUUCGGCCACCUCGAAGAAGUGUGAGAAAUCAAUUGCGUCCGUGACGACUGGAUAGUCCUGGGUGUGUUGGUCGAACAACUCUUCGAUCUCGUCACGAUACGCUUCGACUGACCUAUCGCCGUCGCCAAGCCGUGCGAGGAACUGCUCACGCAGGUCUGGAUUUUCGGCGAGUAUAUCUCGCACGAACGCGCGUAGGUCGUCAGAAGAGGCAUUUUCGAUCGCUCCGUCAACGCGUUCGCUCUCGUCUCGGGGUGGAUCGGUGGCGAUGUCUAGCAGCACCGCGAUGACGUGUUUAUACUCACCCGCUCUCUCGUAGGGACACGUACACCACGCGUCGAUGGUGUUCUCGCCACUUCGACGGUCACGUCGUACAGACUGGAUCCCCGCACCGCGCCUGUGACCACAUUGCCAAACCGUUCGAUUCGUCAAAUGCGCCCUUCGUCGCGGUAGUCCCGCCCACGUUCGAACACCGCGUCGGUACAGGUCUCCCGAAUGGACGCUUUUCUGAGAUUCAUGGUCACGUGACAGUCGUCUGCUCCCUUUCUCGUUCGUUCGCGGUUCUAUUCGUCUAGUAGUUCGGUACGCUCUCAACGGGCGCGUAGUACCCGCGUUCGUUCCGCCAAGUCUCGAUCCACUCNNNNNNNNNNNNNNNNNNNNAAGGAGGUCGUGAGCUGGGUUUAGACCGUCGUGAGACAGGUCGGCUGCUAUCUAUUGGGGGUGUCAAGGUACUUGACGUGAACAGUCGUAUAGUACGAGAGGAACUACGACUGGUCGCCACUGGUGUACCGGUUGUGUGAAAACGCAGAUGCCGGGUAGCCACGCGACACGGGGUAAGAGCUGAACGCAUCUAAGCUCGAAACCCACAUGGAAAAGAAGUACCGACGAGGUCACUCGUAGAAGACGAGAUCGAUAGACUCGGGAUGUACGCACCAAGGCAACGAGGUGUUUUAGUCCACGAGCACUAACAGACCGAAGCCACAGUCAU
rnacentral:ncRNA from 1 species